GCUCCCUUAGUAUAUUAGUACAGCUGACUUCCAAUCAGCAGGACCCGCCAACUGCGAGAAGGAGCA
rnacentral:tRNA from 1 species